GCACCAAGGGAUCCACAGAUUUGCUGGAGAAUGGCCGGAAUCAGGUGACUGUCUGUCCAUGAAUCUCUCUGGAAUCAUGUUUCAGAUGAAGACAUUGAUAGAACAAAACCAAGACUCAAAAUCCUGCACUCAGUCAUUCACCAAAGCUUCUAAAUAAAGCACAUGUUGAUUUUGAUUUAAGAAUGAGAAGAAAUC